ACUUAGGAUAAAUUAAAUAAUUAAAAACUUAUGUUUGCUAAGUCAUGUAGUUUUUCUUGUAAUAUAAGAGUACUUUUGUCUUUACAUAAUAAGAAGUAACGGAAAAUAUGGAUAUCCAUAUUAUCCAUUGGUUUUAUUCAUUUUAUCCAUAAUCAAAUAUGAGUUGGGUUGGAUAUUUUAUCCAUAUUAAGAAGACCCACUUUUAACCUGCCCAUAUCCGACUCAAAUCACCCGUUUGCCACCCCUAGUGAUGAUCAAUAGUUGGGUGAAGAGGAUGAUCAGCCACACUGAGAUUGAGACAUGACCCAGAUCCGACGGAAGGCAGGAGUGUGGAAUUUUCCACAAUGGGUGAAAGACUGACGGAGCAAUGCCGCGUGGAGGUAAAAAUCCCAUGGGUCAUGAACUUCUUUUCCCAUAGAAGAAUCAAUAGAGUAUCUGGGGAAUAAGCAUCAGCUAACUUUGUGCCAGUACCCGCGGUAAUACAGAAGAUGCAAGUAUUAUUUGGAAUAAUUAGGCGUAAAGCAUCUGUAGGUGGAUUUUUAAGUCCGCCAUCAAAUAUCAGGGCUUAACCCUGGACAAGCAGUGGAAACUACCAACCUGGAGUACGGUAGGGGUAGAGGGAAUUUUAGGUGGAGCGGUGAAAUGCGUAGAGAUCGAAAAAAACACUAAUGGCGAAAGCACUUUGCUGGGCCGACACUGACAUUGAGAGAAAAAAUCUAGGUGAGCGAAUGGGAUUAGAUACCCCAGUAGUCCUUGCCGUAAAUGAUGGCUACUAGGCGUUGUGCGUAUCGACCCAUGCAGUACUGUAGCUAAUGCAUUAAGUAUCCCGUCUGGGGAGUAUAUUUGCAAGAAUGUUCUCAAAGGAAUUGACGAAGCCCUGCAUAAGAGGUGGAGCAUGUGGUUUUAUUAGAUGCAAAGCGAAAACCUUACUAGGGCUUGACCUGCCAUAAAUCCUCUUAAAAGAGAGGGGUGCCUUUGGGAACGUGGACACAGGUGGUGAAUGACUUGCAUCAGCUCAUGCCAUAAGGUGUUGGGUUAAGUACCGCAACAAGCGUAAAUAUCAUGUUUAGUUUCCAUCGUUGAGUUUGGAACCCUAAACAAACUACCAGUGAUAAGCUAGAGGAAGGUAAGGAAGACGUCAAGUCAUCAUGCCCCUUAUGCCUUAGGAAACACACGUGCUACAAUGGCCAGGACAAAGGGUUGCAAUCUCGUGAGGGUGAACUAAACCCAAAAACCCCUCCUUAAUUUGGAUUGUAGGCCACAACUUGCCUGCAUAAAGUUGGAAUCGCUAGUAAUCGUCGGUCAGCCAUACGACAGUGAAUUCAUUCUCGGGCCUUGUACACACCGCCCGUCACACUAUGGGAGCUGGCUAUGCCAAAAGUCGUUACCUUAACCGCAAAGAGGGGGAUGCCGAAGGCAGGACUAAUAACUGAAGUGAAGUCGUAACAAGGUAUCCGUACUAGAAGGUGCGGUUGGAUCACCUUUUUU
rnacentral:rRNA from 1 species